UACGUAGGGUGCAAGCGUUGUCCGGAAUUAUUGGGCGUAAAGAGCGCGUAGGCGGUUUGUCGCGUCGGGAGUGAAAACCCAGGGCUUAACCCUGGGCUGGCUUUCGAUACGGGCAGACUAGAGGUAUGCAGGGGAGAACGGAAUUCCUGGUGUAGCGGUGAAAUGCGCAGAUAUCAGGAGGAACACCUGCGGCGAAGGCGGGUUGCUGGGCCGACACUGACGCUGAGGCGCGAAAGCCAGGGGAGCGAACGGG
rnacentral:rRNA from 1 species